UGGCCUUCUCUUUGAUGAUGCUGCACGGU
rnacentral:piRNA from 1 species